rnacentral:rRNA from 1 species
UCCAGACUCCUACGGGAGGCAGCAGUGGGGAAUAUUGGGCAAUGGGCGCAAGCCUGACCCAGCGACGCCGCGUGAGGGAAGACGGUCUUCGGAUUGUAAACCUCUUUCAGCAGGGAAGACAAAAGGACGGUACCUGCAGGAGAAGCCACGGCUAACUACGUGCCAGCAGCCGCGGUAAUACGGAGGAUGCGAGCGUUAUCCGGAUUUAUUGGGUUUAAAGGGUGCGUAGGCGGAAUGCCAAGUCAGCGGUAAAAUCGCGGGGCUCAACCUCGCUCCGCCGUUGAAACUGGCGUUCUUGAGUGGGCGAGAAGUAUGCGGAAUGCGCGGUGUAGCGGUGAAAUGCAUAGAUAUCGCGCAGAACUCCGAUUGCGAAGGCAGCAUGCCGGCUCCACACUGACGCUGAGGCACGAAAGCGUGGGUAUCGAACAGGAUUAGAUACCCCCGUAC